GGUAAUUCUACUUAAAGUAUGGUCCCCUUCUGCAACAGAAAAUGAGGCUUAAGCUUUACGAAAAGAACCUUUAGAGUAGUUUAACAUUACUGGGCACCCAAGCAUUUUUCUAACUUUUUUUUUUCUUACUGUAUUUUCCAAAAGUAUUGGUAUGAGAUUGGAAAAUGUUUAACUUUGUAAGGCACAGCUCUAAAGCGGACACCUCCGCACUACUGACUCAAACACGGGCAGACCCGCGAGGACGGGGAUAGGGGCAGCUCCCGCCAAUUAGGAGAAACCGGGCAGUCAUGGAGAAUAACAGAAGCCCGAGGUGACAACACGGCACCAUCGCUGCAAGUGGCCACUAUUCCAGCGAACCGUGCACAAAAGAGGAGGCACAGAAGCCGGCACUGAAGGCACACGCACCUGUGAGCAAGAUCGGAAAUCGGGUCAGCGCUUUUCCUACCCAAAGUUGGGAGCCACCAGGGUAUUUGCACUCUAGGUGAGUUUUACCAACAUACUAGAUUCCAUCAACGUGCUACACAUGCUGUUUAAGAGAGUGAGAAGCCAAACAAAGAAAGAGGACCGAAGACCCCUCCGCCCCUCCUCCCCUAGCGAAGCCUCUUCGCGCUUGCGCAGACCCCAACCUAGCUAAUCCGCCCGAAGCCGGCCCUCCGCUCUCUUCCGGGAGGGCAGAGGACGCGCAGCCACAGGGCGCUGACGCGCAUGCGCAGCGACGAAGCCCGUGCCUUCUGCGCGUGCCUGAGUCCUUACCCGCGACGGGGAUCGGCUCCUUCCGGCCCGGCAAUGCCUCCUGGGGGCUGACGAUCUUAGAGGCGGAGUCGCCCAUUCUCGGGACAGGAAAGAGGCUGUGGAAAAGCUGGCUAGCUCUCCUGGUGGCCAAGAGCAUGGGCGGGCCGCUGGCCGACGGGCGGAACGGCGCGGUCGAGAGCGGAGCGGCUGCUGCGGAGUGGGCGGCUGGCGCCCGGCAGUGGGACCGGCGUGCACUGGGCCGCGCUGCAGGCAGGGGGUCCGCCGAGGCCGCUUGCGCUGCGGGCUGUGGCCGCUGCCGACCCGGAAUCAAGGUUACCUAAGGCUCUGGCCGAAGGGCUGUAACUGAGGGCGUGUUCCGCCCGGGGGUAGGGGGUGGGGUAGGCGUCUGCGGGGGGCCUGGUCCUAGGAGGCCAUCAGCUAGUGCUUCUGGUUCGGCUUCCGCUUCAGUACAAACUUCCCGGGGAGAGAACAAAUGUACUAAUUGAGAUACGAAGUACGUGAAGCAGCAUAGGUCAAAAACAAAUAAUGCCUAGCCUUUGAUUUUAAAGUUCGUUCCCUCCUUAAAAACCUUAGCAGUUGUUCAAUAUGCCCAAUAAAGCAUAAGACGACCUACUUUACAGGCAACGAGUACGUACGUGUAUUUCCACUGGAGCCAUUGUAAUGGUAAAUUAUCAAAAAGAUGAGGAUCCAAAAUAAAAACUAAGCACAACUUUCAAAAAGCUCAGUAUAGGGAAGAUAAUUCAAAAUAAUGUUUUAUGUAUAUACACACAUACAUAUACAGUGAUAAGCCCAUUUUGCGAGGAAGAAAAUAGAGAAGCUCGGCGCUAAUACCACCAUUAACGCAGUUGGCGUGAAUUUAAUGCUGCUGUUUGAUCAUUCUUGUUUCUCAAAUCGUGGAAGAUAACAUUUGUUUCUUUGACAAAUUUUCAACCCAAAAAAUAAGGUGGGUGAAGCCAGAUGGGUGACUUGGGAGUUCCAUAUGUGAAAUUUUGGUUUCACACAAAUGUUCUGCCAGAACUUCAGAUUAGCACUCACAGAAAUGAGAAGGCUUUGACUUGACUUCCCCUGUGAGUGAGUUACCUUUUUGUUUUAAUGUGGUCUGGACUGAACUGGCCCUACAGUACUGUAGAAUAAAGUCAGACAUGUAACAUUAAGCUUAAAUUCUUUAGUUUGUAAUUUAGAUUUCGUCUGGGCAAUUUGCCUCAGUUUUUACUUUUGUUUAUCCUAUGAGAUUAUACAAAGUAGUUUCUACAGGCCUCCUGAAAACACUCCAAGGUAAUCCCUUCCAUGUUUGGUCACUGCUAAGCGCUUGAAAAAUUAAGAUCACUUUUCUGUCAGAGGAAAUAUUUUGUGUAUGUGUAUUUUUUCAAUUAUUGCCUUUUAAUACAUACUGAGUUUCUGUUUUUAUGUCUUGUGGUUGAUUGUGUGAAAUUAAACAUUAGAAAUAAACCAAGAACUGAAGAGUU